rnacentral:misc_RNA from 1 species
GGAGAAGGUUGUUGAAAACCGCGCUCGUGAUGAUCUGCAGAAAUAUUCGAGGAGCUCGGUUCAAGCUUAUGGCAACGACAGAGUUAGAGGUCGUUCAAGCCACUCAAAGUCUCCAGCUCAUCCGCCUUAUUCUGGCAACUCGUUCAGUUCAUAUGAUAGUUUUCAGAGUAAGAGUGCAUAUGGUAGAACCGAAGGAUGGGAUAAUGAGAGAAGAGGAUCUGAUUUGCAAUCUAGUCGUCAGUUUGAGUAUCCAGCUUUUCCCCAGUCUCUUGAAGAAUUGGAGAUGGAGUAUAAAAGGGAAGCUACUGAACUUGGAAAGAUUUGUGAUAAAGAAGAAGAUGAAGA